rnacentral:piRNA from 1 species
UAGCUUUGAUUGUUGAUUGGCAUGCAUUC